rnacentral:rRNA from 1 species
UCAACGAUCAUUAGGGGUUCUGAGAGGAAGGUCCCCCACACUGGUACUGAGACACGGACCAGACUCCUACGGGAGGCAGCAGUGAGGAAUAUUGGUCAAUGGACGAGAGUCUGAACCAGCCAAGUCGCGUGAAGGAAGACGGUUCUAUGAAUUGUAAACUUCUUUUGUACAGGAAUAAAGUGGAUUACGUGUAAUCUUUUGUAUGUACUGUACGAAUAAGGAUCGGCUAACUCCGUGCCAGCAGCCGCGGUAAUACGGAGGAUCCGAGCGUUAUCCGGAUUUAUUGGGUUUAAAGGGUGCGUAGGUGGAUUGAUAAGUCAGUGGUGAAAGUUUGCAGCUUAACUGUAAAAUUGCCGUUGAAACUGUCGGUCUUGAGUGCAAAUGAGGUAGGCGGAAUGUGUUGUGUAGCGGUGAAAUGCUUAGAUAUAACACAGAACUCCGAUUGCGAAGGCAGCUUACUGGGAUGCAACUGACACUGAUGCACGAAAGCGUGGGUAUCAAACAGGAUUAGAUACCCUGGUAGUCCACGCAGUAAACGAUGAAUACUAGCUGUAUGCGAUACACCGUAUGUGGCACAGCGAAAGCGUUAAGUAUUCCACCUGGGGAGUACGUUCGCAAGAAUGAAACUCAAAGGAAUUGACGGGGGCCCGCACAAGCGGAGGAACAUGUGGUUUAAUUCGAUGAUACGCGAGGAACCUUACCCGGGCUUGAAAUGCAGAAGACGGAUCGGGAAACCGAUUUUCCAGCAAUGGCUUCUGUGUAGGUGCUGCAUGGUUGUCGUCAGCUCGUGCCGUGAGGUGUCGGCUUAAGUGCCAUAACGAGCGCAACCCUUGCCAAUAGUUACUAUCAGGUAAUGCUGAGGACUCUAUUGGGACUGCCAUCGUAAGAUGCGAGGAAGGUGGGGAUGACGUCAAAUCAGCACGGCCCUUACGUCCGGGGCGACACACGUGUUACAAUGGGGAGUACAGAGGGUUGCUACCUGGUGACAGGAUGCUAAUCUCUUAAAUCUUCUCUCAGUUCGGAUCGAAGUCUGCAACUCGACUUCGUGAAGCUGGAUUCGCUAGUAAUCGCGCAUCAGCCAUGGCGCGGUGAAUACGUUCCCGGGCCUUGUACACACCGCCCGUCAAGCCAUGGAAGCCGAGGGUACCUGAAGUACGUGACUGUAAAGAGCGUCCUAGGGUAAAAUUGGUGACUGGGGCUAAGUCGUAACAAGGUA